ensembl:snRNA U11 spliceosomal RNA
AAAAAGGGCUUCUGUAGUGAGUGGCACACGUAGAGCAGUUUGAUUGCUCUAUGUGCGGAAUCGACAUCAAGAGAUUUUGGAAGCAUAAUUUUUUGGUACUUGGGCAGCUAGUGAUCAUUGGUCCUAGUGCCUGC